GAUGAACGCUGGCGGCGUGCUUAACACAUGCAAGUCGAACGGUGAAGGCGGAGCUUGCUCUGCUGGAUCAGUGGCGAACGGGUGAGUAACACGUGAGCAAUCUGCCCCUGACUCUGGGAUAAGCGCUGGAAACGGCGUCUAAUACUGGAUACGAGCUGCGAAGGCAUCUUCAGCAGCUGGAAAGAACUUCGGUCAUGGAUGAGCUCGCGGCCUAUCAGCUUGUUGGUGAGGUAACGGCUCACCAAGGCGUCGACGGGUAGCCGGCCUGAGAGGGUGACCGGCCACACUGGGACUGAGACACGGCCCAGACUCCUACGGGAGGCAGCAGUGGGGAAUAUUGCACAAUGGGCGAAAGCCUGAUGCAGCAACGCCGCGUGAGGGACGACGGCCUUCGGGUUGUAAACCUCUUUUAGCAGGGAAGAAGCGAAAGUGACGGUACCUGCAGAAAAAGCGCCGGCUAACUACGUG
rnacentral:rRNA from 1 species